rnacentral:rRNA from 1 species
UGGGGAAUAUUGGACAAUGGGCGAAAGCCUGAUCCAGCCAUGCCGCGUGUGUGAAGAAGGCCUUUUGGUUGUAAAGCACUUUAAGUGGGGAGGAAAAGCUUAUGGUUAAUACCCAUAAGCCCUGACGUUACCCACAGAAUAAGCACCGGCUAACUCUGUGCCAGCAGCCGCGGUAAUACAGAGGGUGCAAGCGUUAAUCGGAAUUACUGGGCGUAAAGCGCGCGUAGGUGGUUAUUUAAGUCAGAUGUGAAAGCCCCGGGCUUAACCUGGGAACUGCAUCUGAUACUGGAUAACUAGAGUAGGUGAGAGGGGAGUAGAAUUCCAGGUGUAGCGGUGAAAUGCGUAGAGAUCUGGAGGAAUACCGAUGGCGAAGGCAGCUCCCUGGCAUCAUACUGACACUGAGGUGCGAAAGCGUGGGUAGCAAACAGGAUUAGAUACCCUGGUAGUCCACGCCGUAAACGAUGUCUACCAGUCGUUGGGUCUUUUAAAGACUUAGUGACGCAGUUAACGCAAUAAGUAGACCGCCUGAGGAGUACGGCCGCAAGGUUA